rnacentral:tRNA from 1 species
UAGCUGAGCGGUAAAGCGCUAGUCUUUCGAACCGGGGGUCCAGGUUCGAAUCCGGG